UCUUCCUCCCGUGAAAACAGUGGCAGAAUCCCUACUGAAUGCAGGUUUUGGGCUGUGAGCUUCCCUGAACCACCCCAAGGAUAGCUGGCCUGAGUCAAAAGCGUGCCAGGGAGCAGACUUGCAUGAAACACACACUGUAGGGGUCUGUAAGUUAGUGUUUGAUUCUGUUUCCUUAUACAAAUGUCUAAAUAUUAUAAUGAAUGUUGUAAAUCAGGGUGCACGUGAUUUUGGCUAAUAAAAUUACAUAACCCCAAAUGCACCUUUUAAAAAUGUCUCCUCCAGAUUCAGACAUCUCACCAUUUAUUUCAACACAGGAGGAUUUUUUUGUUAAUGGAAGAACAGUUCAUGACUGAAGGUGAUGGUCAGAGUGUUCUGUUAAACACUGUGCUCACACAGAAGUGCUGAUGAAUGAUUAUAAGAAAUGAAAGUGCUUUCUAAUAAGAAACAACUGCGCUAAAAACAAACAUGUCAAAGGCAGAUUAAACUGUGUGCUCCAUUUCAAGGCUCCUGCUCUGGCACAGCCAUGGUGCUUUGAAAAGAGCAAUGGAAGAUUUUCCCUGCCAACCCCUUUCCAUCACAGUGAGGUCACUCAUAGUCCAGACUGCAGGUUUUGCAUGUAGCAGGGAACGUCACAGAGCUGCUCUGGAGUGAGAGCACCCAGGUGGAGCUUUGGGAGCUUUGAGGUGCACUGGUGAGGCCACACCUCAAGUCCUGUGCCCAGUUCUAGGCCUGUCACUGCAAGAUGGACAUUGAGGGGCUGGAGUGUGUCCAGAGAAGGGAAUGGAACUGGGGAAGGGUCUGGGGGAGGGGCUGAGGGAGCUGGGGGUGCUCAGCCUGGAGAAAAGGAAGCUCAGGAGGAACCUCUUGGCUCUGCACAACUCCCUGACUGGAGGGGACAGCUGGGGAGGAUUGGGCUCUGCUCCCAGGGAAUAGGGACAGGAUGACGGGAAAUGGUCUCAAGCUGCACCAGGGGAGUUCAAGUUGGACAUCAGGAAAGAUUUCUUCACUGAAAGGGCUAUCAGACACUGGAAGGGGGUGAUGAAUCCAAGGAGGUGAUGAAUCCCCGUUCCUGGAGGUAUCCAAGGCACUGCCAAAUGUGGUCUGGUUGACAAGGUGAGGAUUGGUCACUGGUUGGGCUUGAUGGUCUUGGAGGCCUUUUUCAGUGAUAAAAAUUCUGUGAUUUGAUGAUUGUGUAAAGCUGCUGUCUGUGAGGGUGUUAAUGCAGAAGGUGGGACAAUUUUUCCCAGCAAAACCCAUUGCCAGGAUGGCCCAUUCUGAAAGAAGUGCAGUCUCAAACCUGUUCAAUCCUGUUCAAAAGUCUUUACUGAAGAGGCGAAUUGCAUCUGGAAGAGGCAAGCUUUGCCUCUGCAAAAGAAUUGCAGCCUCAAGGCAAGGCUGGUUCCACAUGAGGACUGGCAUUUGGAAUCAGCUAAGGUAACAUCUCCUACCUGAGGUGCCACCUUUGACACCCCUUAAACACCCCCACUGUUUGUCCUUCAGAAGCUGCCUUGGAAGGACACUCUCUGUUCAGGUGAGCUUCAGGACAUGCCAGCUUCAUCUCCUGUCCAGCUUCAUCUCACCAUAAACAUCAGAAAGGGUGGUGGAAGAAAUAAUUGUUUUUCAUUUCGCAUAGUAAAAGUCUAGCUAUGACUAAUUGGACAGCAAAUUUUACAAACCCACCAAAACCAUCAUGAUUGAUUUCACAGGGGAUAUUUCACAUAAAUCAUGAAAUUUCAUAGAAAAUUUCAUACGGGGAAUUCACAGAAAGCUCAGCUAUAUAGAUUUGUGCAUCUUUUGGUUCUUAAAGGAUCCAGUUGGAGAGUUAUGAAUGUGCAGAGGGAGAGGUGACACAUAAGGGAAAAGGAUGGGAACUAUUAAAAGGAAACUCUUGAGCUGUGUCCAUGUAAGGAAAGAACUGACUGCCUUGAAAGAGAACAGGAGGAGAAUGAUGGAAGAGAAUGGAUAUUCUUGCUACUCCUAUUGUCAGUACAUAUGGAUUUUACUGAAGGAAAAAAAGACCUGAAGGAAUUUGGAUUUGUAAGACCUAGUCAAACACAGCUCUGACACCAAAUAUGUGGGAAAACGGAGAUUUACCAUGUGAAAAAGGAAGUCUUUAAUUCUUGCCAAGGGGGAGGUGAACAAGAAAUCUUGGGAGUUCCCAGUCCAAAAGGAUUAGUUUGUAACUAUUUUAUGCUGUGUCAGUUUAUCAGAACUGGAGUAUGUUUCCCAAGUAGAGAAAGGAGACAACAAAUUGGUGUUUUUACAGGAACAGUGUUACAAGAAAUCAAUUACUUUUAUUUCAUGAUACAACUCCAAGCAAAAUAGUAUUUUGUGUGUAAGUAUUAAGUGUUACAGGGAUGAAAAAAUCUCAUUAAGUUACAUUUAUUAGAAAAUGUAGCAUCCUAGGUUUAUUAUGGAUUUCCAUAUGCCAUCUUUGGGUGAUCAAAUAAGAAGUUAUUUAAUUACUUUGAGAGGGUAUUAAAGGGCUCUCAUUCAGGGAGCUGUUCCCUGAAGUAACUGCAAAUCAUGAUCUUUAUUUUGUUUCUGCCAUGAGGGCAAAUGAAAUCACCUCGAUUUUUCAGUCAAAUUCCCUAACAGCUAUUGUCUUGCCUUGCAUGAACCCGCCUGAACUGACAUCCAUAAUAAUAUUAGGAAUAUAAAUCACUCAUUUAUUUUCAGGACAGGAGGAUGGGCAGCCUGUGCUGCCUGCAUGAUGCAAAGGUCUUGAGCCAGCCUGAAAUCAGUGAGGCAGGGAAAGGCUUUUCUUUCAUGUCUCUUGAACAGGAGUGAGGGAGGUUGGAUUCUUCCCCUUUUCAACCUGCUAAGCAGCCAAAAAAUUGGAUCCCCACUGGAGGGUUGAGACAUCAUGCUGUUAACAGAGGCUUGAAGGCAGCCCACCUGCUGCCACUGUCACGCGGCUGCUGUGACACAGCAGAGCUGCCAGGGAGGACACCUCACUCCUCGGCUCUUUAUGGAGUCCUUGGGAAUCAGAAGUGUGAUCCAUUCAGAGGGGCUGGAGUACACUGUGGGAAUGGGAAACCUGAUGGAUUUGGGGGCAGGGAGAAUGUGAAGCUGCUUGGAUUUUCUGGGAAAGCAUGCAUGAAAUCAAUGGGCUGUUGUUGAGGGGGGGAAGGAGGAGGAAUUUGUAUUUGUUCUCUGAUAGGGAAAUAUAAUACUGGGGGAUUUGCUUUGGAGAAGAAAAAAAAAUACUAUUUGAGAAGAAGGCUACUUUCCUGACCAGAAAAAUGAUUGAGGGAACCCUGUUUUAAAAGAGCUGGAUACCUAAGCCUGAAUUAAUAAACCAGGAACUGCUGUUGAAAUAAUGUUAAGAAUUUCUGAAGGAAAGACAAGAGAAGACCUUGGCAAAACAAGAAGCUACAUCUGACAGAUUACUUCAGUUUUAAGAGGAACUAAACUGCAAAUUUCAAUAAAUUGGUGGGUGGGACAGAAGAAGAUCCAAAGAAGUCUUUCCUGAGGGAAAAGUUGGAGUAGAAACUCAACUAUAUUACCAGAAACUGGAGCAGCAAGGCAAUGGAAGUCUUGAAGCAAGGCUUGGCCAGAAAUUGGUAUUCAGAGAGCUCAGCCGUAAAUCCUGGAACACCAGGGUGGCAGGCUUCAGGUGUUGUACUGAUCAUGGGAUGAAUCACAUUCCGAGGAAAGGGGAGGACUUGUGAAUAAUUUCUUUAUAGAUACAGACUUUUUCUCAUUUCCUUAUUUGAAGAGAAUGACAAAUUUUAGUCUGAAAAAUUUAACAGAAUGUGAAGAAAAUGCAGUUCUUUUCCUGAAUUUUCUAGACAACACUGGAAAUCCCACACAUCACUUUUUUUUCCUGAAGUCCUUUUAUUCAUUCAUUUGCCUAAUGAUCCCAUACUUUUUUCUUUUUCUUUAUGAAUGUUGAGUAAGAACUCGUUGAUUUUUUUUAAUUACAUCAAAAUACAAACAUUUCCAGAAUGAAGUAAUUUGUACCAAAGAUCACUUUACAGUCACCACUUAAAAGAUUACAGACUACAAAUGGUAACUGUGGAGUGGUGAAAACAAAUUUAGUUUCAUGUGCAAAUUUUUUUCUGUCUUUCCAUAAUUGCAAACACAUGUACAAUUCCUAUUUUGCAUGGGAGCCUUUCAUUUUUUCAAUUUUCAAAUUAAAAAAAUAAAAAAGCCAACAAUUUCUAAGAGUCAUGGGGACAAAUACAAGGUGUGGAACAACCGAGUAGGCAAGAAAUCUAAAAAAGGGAAUUUGUGAGUCAGCAGAUCCACCCUGAUGAAAAAAGGAAUCCCCUAUGAGGAGUGCUACAGAAGGUAUGGGAAGUAAUACCUCUUUCCCAUAUGGAUAAAGCCCCAUCUGGGAUCCUGUGUCCAGCUAAGUGCAGGUAACAGCUGGAGAAAUGCCCCUUGCCAACUGGCAAAAACCCAGAGAUGAACACCAAGAAUUAUUAGAGGUCCAGAAAACACAGCUAGUGAGACAAGAGCAGAGGAGCUGGGUUUGUUUAGUCUAGGGAAGGGAAGAAUGUGCAGAGACAUGAUAACAGCCACCAGAAACAGAACAAGACAUGAUGUGUUUGAAUUGCCUCAACAGAAAGAGGGUGGGAAUUAGGGAAAAAACCCCAGCUUUUUAAUGGCAAGAUAGUGAAGGGCUGGAUUACCUUACUCUGGGAAUUUGUAGAGGCUUAAAGAACAAUUUAGACAAAUAUUUGCCAGGGAGAAAAUUAUGGAAAACCAGCAGAUUUCAGAAGACAAAUCUAAAUUUUAGUAGCUUAAACAGCUGUCACUUCCUAGAGAAGGCCUUUCCAACAGAACAAUUUUGGGUUUGAGAGCU